GGGCUCGUGGCUUAGCUUGGAUAUAGCGCCGGGCUUCUAACCCGGAUGUCGAGGGUUCGAAUCCCUCCGGGCCCGC
rnacentral:tRNA from 3 species